GCCAGGUGUGGUGGCGCAGGCCUAUAAUCCCAGCGGCUCUGGAGGCUGAGGCAGGAGGAUUGUGAGUUCAAAGCCAGCUUCAGCAACAGCAAGGCACUAAGUAACUCAGUGAGAUCCUGACUCUA
rnacentral:sRNA from 1 species